GACGAACGCUGGCGGCGUGCUUAACACAUGCAAGUCGAACGGAAAGGCCCUGCUUUUGUGGGGUGCUCGAGUGGCGAACGGGUGAGUAACACGUGAGUAACCUGCCCUUGACUUUGGGAUAACUUCAGGAAACUGGGGCUAAUACCGGAUAGGAGCUCCUGCUGCAUGGUGGGGGUUGGAAAGUUUCGGCGGUUGGGGAUGGACUCGCGGCUUAUCAGCUUGUUGGUGGGGUAGUGGCUUACCAAGGCUUUGACGGGUAGCCGGCCUGAGAGGGUGACCGGCCACAUUGGGACUGAGAUCCGGCCCGGACUCCUACGGGAGGCAGCAGUGGGGAAUAUUGAACAAUGGGCGGAGGCCUGAUGCAGCAACGCCGCGUGCGGGAUGACGGCCUUCGGGUUUUAACCCGCUUUCGCCUGUGACGAAGCGUGAGUGACGGUAAUGGGUAAAGAAGCACCGGCUAACUACGUG
rnacentral:rRNA from 1 species